GAUUAUUGAUUUGAGCAAUAAAAUCUCAGAAUUUGUCUCCAUUCAGCUUAGAAAAUUUAUCUCUCCCCUAAAAUCCCCUCAAAAUCCCCCCAAUACACAUUGGUUUUAUCAGUUUAGUAUCAUAGCCUUCUGAACUCCCACCCUUCCAAUGUUUGAGAAUUCCCUUCUUUGUGUUUACUUCGAAGUUUUCCUUUGCCAUCUAAGUUGAUCUGCAUAGACCAGUUGAAACACUUGCGCCUUAUAGUCCAUUCUCUCUACAAAAGUUACAAAAUCCAUUCAUAGCACCUCCUGCCCCAGCAUACUCUCCAUUCAGUUAUGCUUUUGAACCAACACUUGUACCAUACAAUCCAUCACCAUCAUUCCACAAACCAGUGCCUCCUUUAGCACCUACCAGAUUUGAACCCAGCAGUCUAUCUUCCUCUGAUGAGUCUCUUCAGGUAGAGUAGCAAUUUCUACAAGAUUAUCUAUACGAGAUGAUAAAGUUCUUCUAAGGGGGGAAAGAGAGAGAAAGAGAAGAGGUGAGGUUUACUAUUUCUGUAGGGGUAGGUUGCUCAACUACUGUUUGUAUAGAUGGAGUUGGUGUUUGGCAAGCUAUUUUUAAGAAAGAUUUCUCCUUACUCGCCUUUGAAUAAUGUAUUAUACUUGUAUGUCCAGGCUCCGAUACCAAGUGGCUGGGAGCCCUCAGCCAUACAUACACGCAUAGCACUCA
rnacentral:misc_RNA from 1 species